rnacentral:lncRNA from 1 species
CAAAAAAAAAAAAAAAAAAAAAAAAAAGCAAAAAAUAAAAAGGGCUCCACUUGCCACAUUGAAACACCAUGAAAAUCAAAUACCAAACAAACACCCCCAAGAAAGUAAAAGAGCAGUUUCAACUGAAGGAUGCAAGAGUGAGCCGUAACCAGGGAACAUCUAAUGCCUUCCGCAGCAGAGCAGCAAGGGUGCGCAGAGCCAUUCAAACCAGGCACCUGGAGCCCUGCAAAGGUCGGCGCUAUGAAGGAUGUCUGGCCAGCUGUUUGAAAUGGAAUUUGCACGAAGGUUUUCCAGGAAGGACACUAAAAGCUGAUCACAGGCUUGCUGUGAAAUCAUCAAAGAGAAUUAACCACUGAAGAUAUCUGGAAUACAGGUCAAUGUCCCCGACUCCACCUGCCCCCUCCUCCCCUUCCAUUCUCACACAACCUGGGCAGAGGGGUCAGGCACAGCUUGCACAGCCCUUCACGAAUGUCCUCAUGACCGGAGCAUAUCUGACAGGAUCAGAAAUUCUUUUAGUUCAUGGGUUAUUAAAUCCUGAGGUUUGAAUAUAAUCUCUUAUGUGUGUAAAGUCAAGCCUCUAGGGAUAUACAUUUAUUUUGUUGUUUUUCAAUGGCAUUGACUCUAACGUUUCCCUCCUAGGGCUUGUCUAGGUGGUUCUCUCCCAAGUUUGGUCGAACCCAGGAGCCAGGCAAUUAGAUACUAAAAGAAGAUGGCUUAAAAUACGAAAGAAACCAUUUGCCUAGAGGAUGCCUCACAGCAAAAGGUGCUAGCAUGUCUCAGGUUGUCUGUGGGAACAAGCACAUCAAGCAAGAAGCAGGAUGUGAGCCCAGCAUGGUGGCACACGCCUUUAAUCCCAGCACUUGGGAGGCAGAGGCAGGCAGAUUUCUGAGUUCGAGGCCAGCCUGGUCUUCAAAGUGAGUUCCAGGACAGCCAGGGCUAUACAGAGAAACCCUGUCUCUAAAAAUCAAAAAAGAAGCAAGAUGUGUACUAUCCAGAGAGAACAAGAGGCAGAAGCAUAAGUGGAUAGACCAAGGCAGGACAGGAAGAAGGAGAAGAAAGAACAGGAAGAGAAGAACUCUCUUACUACAGAGAGGGCCGGGGGGUGAAAGGGUUG